GAUGAACGCUGGCGGCGUGCCUAAUACAUGCAAGUCGAGCGAACAGAUAAGGAGCUUGCUCCUUUGACGUUAGCGGCGGACGGGUGAGUAACACGUGGGUAACCUAUCUAUAAGACUGGAAUAACUCCGGGAAACCGGGGCUAAUGCCGGAUAACAUGUUGAACCGCAUGGUUCUACAGUGAAAGGCGGCUUUGCUGUCACUUAUAGAUGGACCCGCGCCGUAUUAGCUAGUUGGUGAGGUAACGGCUCACCAAGGCAACGAUACGUAGCCGACCUGAGAGGGUGAUCGGCCACACUGGAACUGAGACACGGUCCAGACUCCUACGGGAGGCAGCAGUAGGGAAUCUUCCGCAAUGGGCGAGAGCCUGACGGAGCAACGCCGCGUGAGUGAUGAAGGUCUUCGGAUCGUAAAACUCUGUUAUUAGGGAAGAACAAAUGCGUAAGUAACUGUGCGCGUCUUGACGGUACCUAAUCAGAAAGCCACGGCUAACUACGUG
rnacentral:rRNA from 1 species